UACAGAGGGUGCAAGCGUUUAAUCGGAUUUACUGGGCGUAAAGCGUGCGUAGGCGGUUCAGUAUGUCGGUCGUGAAAUCCCCGGGCUUAACCUGGGAACUGCGGCCGAAACUGCUGAGCUUGAGUGUGGUAGAGGAAGGUGGAAUUCCAGGUGUAGCGGUGAAAUGCGUAGAUAUCUGGAGGAACACCGAUGGCGAAGGCAGCCUUCUGGGCCACAACUGACGCUGAGGUACGAAAGCGUGGGUAGCAAACAGG
rnacentral:rRNA from 1 species